rnacentral:lncRNA from 1 species
GAGAAAAUGACAUCUACUCCAGAGACAUUGCUGGAAGAAAUUGAAGCCAAAAAUCGAGAAUUAAUAGCUAAAAGGACAACCCCACUUUUGAGCUUCCUGAAGAACAAGCAGAGAAUGAGAGAAGAAAAGAGAGAAGAGAGGAGGAGACGGGAAAUAGAGAGGAAAAGACAAAGAGAAGAAGAGAGAAGAAAAUGGAAAGAAGAGGAGAAACGAAAAAGAAAAGAUAUAGAAAAACUAAAGAAGAUAGAAAGAAUUCCAGAAAGGGAAAAGAUAAGGGAUGAACCAAAGAUUAAGGUACACAGGUUUCUGUUACAAGCUGUGAAUCAGAAAAAU